UUGGUAUUUACUCCAAAAGCUCGAACUGCAGGCAGAUACAACCCGAUCAUCACGGUAAACAAUACUCGCGGCACGAUGCAGGGUCCCUCUGCCUAGGGAGGAAGGCAGAACGCUGGAUUCAAGGUGCAUCCAAAAUACAUCUGUAGAUUUCUGCGCAUAGGACUUCCUCCUCCAUUUUUGCAGAGUUCACGUGAUUCACUCUUCUUGCCUGGUUCAGAGGUCUGGUUGGCUCGCGCUGUCGGAAUGCUGCGGUGCCCGUGGGGGCUCCUGCGGCUCCCUCCCCUAUACCAGGGGAGGCCCCGGCGUCCUGCGCUGUGUUUGCACCGCUUCCUGCGUGUAGGCCCCUGGUCCUCGCACGCUGGUCCGCAGCGCCCCGAGGGUGUUUUAAGAGCCCGCCGGUGUGUUACUGUUGGAUAACGGCUGUGAUGAGAAGUGAAGAGCUGCGUCCUUUCUCCCUGGCUACUGUGGUUUUUGUUAACGCAGAGGAUAUCUCCUAUCUGGUGUGGGGCAGAUCCUAGGAGCUUCCAUCUAGCUUUCCUGCAUUAACCUGUGUGAGCAGCUGUCAACUGGAGGAAAGAAACUGCCCAGAAAUUUUGAGAUGCUUAAGUAUUUUUAGAUCAGUUAGACUUUUUUAACACAAAUACUUGUUUUUAUCAAAAGAAUUCCAAUAAAAUAUUUUAAA